GUGAGGCUUACCUUUUAAAUCCCUUUAUCCCCGUGCUCUGUAGCAUUCUGUUGGGCUGCCAGUACACAUAAGAGUGAAAGGCCACAGCACCACUAACAACCGGUUCAUCAAAUAAAUGUGUUAAAAUGCUGUAGUGGAGAAGUGACUGCUGACGUGGAGCUGUCACGUGUGGGGUGUAAAAUGCCCACAGAAACCUUGUCUCUGACUUUGGCCUGUGAAGGGGAGGUGGAAAAUCUGGUUGGGUUACCCCAGACAGGAGGAAAUACACAAAAGUAUUUAGAUCCACAAGUGAGGCCUCCCUCCUCUUCAGGGGAAAAAAUGGGGCCUCAGAAGAAGUUUGGUGCCUUUGUGCUGGUUUCUGAGUGAAGCAAACCUUUGAGGGGAAACAAUGCUAAUAGAGUCAUCGCUUUGGCACAUGAGCCCUGCUAGAAAGAAAGCCUGUUAAUCCCCUCUAUAGUCGCUCUAUUUAUACCCUUAGGCUGCACAUAAACUGGCCAAGUACAAGAACAAAAGCUGACUAGAAAAAUCACUCCUGUGAUUGUUGUUCUCAUGAGCUAUUAUCCCCUUUAUUAAGGAGCAGGCUCAGAACAACCUUUCUUAAGGACAAUGUUCUGUAAAGAAAUGUGAUUAUCAUGCUGAUUUAGGUGAAACUUGGCCCUCUGGCUCGCCUCUCCCUCUGCCCUCCCAGCGCAUUUUCCUUACUGUGCUUUUAAGCGGUAGUGCCAUCAGCCAAGCUGGAGGAAUGCUCUGACCCCAGCCCUGCCCCUUGCUUCUUCGGGAGAUCAGUAUCAACCUACAAUUUAUAUUUGAGAAUAAAAAUCCUCACCAAUGUCCUUUUUCACCGUGACUGAAUGGGGACGCACCUUCUUGACCAUUAAGUGUUUUGCAUACCUGCUACUGAUCCAUGCUUGAGGUCCACAAAAACACAAAUAAAAAACCCCAAACUUGCAGCCACCAUCACUUACUCCCCUGUAUUGGAAAAGCAGGCUUAUGUAACAGACUGGAAAUGACAGGUCUUAGGAAAGGAUUUCCCUGAAGCCGAGAGCAAGACCCAGAGCAGAAGCAGAAGAGAACUGAUGGCAGGGAGAGACAAAGUGGACUGCCUGGAGGUGGGAGCAUCCCAGACUCGAUUCAGAUGAAGAAAUAAAUGAUGACUGAAACACAACACAGCGUUUAUCAUGACAGGAGUGAUGGGUUAUAAAGAUCUAAACUGUUUACUUGUAUGAGACCAUAAUGGUCCUUGUCAUCGACAUGGUGUUGAAAGGAAUGACUUCCAUCUAGGGGAGGCAGAAAAACACAGGACAUGCAUUUUAGCACUAGUAACAGUUUAAUGGAAUAAGAUUGGAAAAGAGGAUGAAUAUGGAAAUAAGACAGGGAUGACACUGUAAUAAUUUAAGCGUAGCAUUUGGCAGCAGCAGUAUCAUUUAAGGAAAAACAGACAACACUAAUCAACAUCAGAUGUAUUGAUAUUUUAAAAUAUACUUUAUUUAAUGACAAUAAAUAUAAAGAAUUUUUAUAAUAAGAAACUAAUUGCAAACAUUCUUAGAAAAAAAUACAAAAAAUACACUCUUACAUUCUGAAUUUUAUUGACAUACAGAGUCUAAAACAGUGGUGACAGUCUGUAAUUUAUGGUGCUUUAUGGUUAAGGCAAUGAAAUGGUCACUGGUCCAAAUUCACCCUAACUUCAACAGAUCUGUGCAAAAUAGGAGUCUGGCCUACAUAUCAAGUGUAGAAAAAAAGGUAAAACUGAUUCAGAGUUUAAAACAAAUGCCGAUUUUCCCUUCAAGCAGACAUUUAAUUAAAGUGACCAAGCCUAAAAAAAAAA